UACGUAGGGUGCGAGCGUUGUCCGGAAUUAUUGGGCGUAAAGGGCUCGUAGGCGGUUUGUCGCGUCGGGAGUGAAAACUCAGGGCUUAACCCUGAGCCUGCUUCCGAUACGGGCAGACUAGAGGUAUGCAGGGGGAGAACGGAAUUCCUGGUGUAGCGGUGAAAUGCGCAGAUAUCAGGAAGAACACCGAUGGCGAAGGCAGCUCUCUGGGACGGUACUGACGCUGAGACGCGAAAGCGUGGGGAGCAAACAGG
rnacentral:rRNA from 1 species